rnacentral:lncRNA from 1 species
CAAGACUCUUCUGAGCCUCAGUUUCCUCAUUUGUAAAAUAAAAUGAGAGUACUUGUUUGUAUACAUGUAUAUAAAGACUUUAGCAAAGCAUCUAAUGCAUCAUAAUGUUCAAUAAAUGUUAGUUUUCAUAUGUGUUGUAUAUGUGUAAGAUAUAUAGAUGGAUGGACACAGCAAUGGAUGCUUUGCAUACAGCUUGAGUUCUUAGUCAACAAAUAAGCAAACAAAAAAGGAAAUUCUUUUUUGGGCACUGGUGAAGGUACAUUAUAUGAUUACCUAGAUGCUCAAGUAAUAUCAAAUGCCAAUAAAAGAAAGUAUAAUAUAAUAGUUCCCCUAGUUCCCAGUAAGGACUCAAUAUGUUUUUGUUGAACUUGACUUAAAUGUUGGUUUGUAUCCACACACUUCUCUUUGACUCAUCUGUGCCCUCUCUGGUCGAUUUCUUUUAUUCCUAUGAGUCAACAGUUAUUUUUAUGUGCAUUUAUAAAUCCUGCCAGGUUAUCUUCCUGAGAGCUCUGGAUCUGCAUAUUUAACCACCUAAUGGACUUUUCUGUGUCCUCAGGUCAGCAUGUCACAAAGUGAGACCAUUAUUAUUCUCCUCCCUCCCCUUGUACUUGUACCCAUUCCUUAUCAGAGUGAAUGAGGCUUCAGCUGACUUCCUAGAAACCUUGAUUCUUCCUUACCCUUAUGUCCAAUCUGCUCCCAACUGCUAUUAAUACGAUCUUUAGAAUAUCUCUCCCUUUUCUCUACUCAAAUCCACCACUGCCACUGCUCUCCCAGUUAAGAUCUUCAUUAUUUAUUUUCUGUUAACCCUCCCUACUUUCUUCAAUCCAUCCUCCCUCCAACCCCAAAAUGAUCUUUGUAACAUAAAAACCUUAUCAUGUCAUCCCACUGCUCACGAUCCCCUUCCUCCAGGUCAGCUGGAGGUCUGCUGAUCUCUGUGGAAUUCAACGGGGCUUGAUUCCGAGGUGCCGGUUACAUGUGGGUAUGCUCCACGGACCUACCAACGUCCUGGGACCAGCGGGCAACCUACAUCAUGUCAUUUUCUUGGAAGAGUCAGAAGGGCAGGCAUGCAAAGCCCAGCUGCUUAUGGGCAAUUCAAGCUGCUGCUUCUCCUCCAUCUGCAUCCCAUUGCCUGAUGCGUGUUACCCAGGCACGAGGGUUACAUUUAGGACUUGCAAGACUUGUUAGGCAGUUAAUGAGGAUUCACGAAUUGUCAGAGCUGAGUGAGAAGCAUCAUGGAGUUUCCUGGCUCCUUUUCCUAAGAGCUAUUGUUCUCAGAGCUGCAAAUGCUCCUUGUGACUCCUGGAGGUCAAUGUGAAAAUUGUCAUCAUUUCUCUUCCUGAUACAGCAGAGUCUACUUAAUAAAAGUGAUUUGGGCAAGUGUUUCUGAAUUUCA